rnacentral:lncRNA from 1 species
UGUGAGGCUUAGGAAAUGGGGAACAGUGGGUUUUACUGAACUAUUCAACGACCCCAUGCUUAAUACAAGAUAGUUAUAUUAUCUGACAUUGACCUGAUAGUGUUUUCACUCUGCAAUUAAAAUGACAACAAUUUUAGCUAUGAAGUUGUGAAUACAGAAAUAAAACUUUUUUUCUAUCCCUAAACAAGCCCCAAAUUAUGAAGAAAAGUCAUGUGAUAUGAAAUCAAUGUUGCACAAAAUAUCACUAAUACUAUCUUUAGUUUAAGAAAACAGGAAGUGUUUUAGCUAUAGUAUAAAUAUUUCUUGAAUGAUAUGUGCAAACAUUUGUGAUACACAUUUAUUGAUUGUAUUAUUUAUGUAGGAUUUCAUACAUCUCCUACAAUUUUAACAGUAUUCAAAAUAGGUAAUCAGUUAAAGUUUAGGUUACCAGUAUUAAAUGAAGGUUUAUUUGGUCUUUCAUUUAUUUAACAUACAUUCCCUUCUUUUUCAAUCAAUAUUCUGAGAUACACUUGAUAUCCUAUUUAACUUACACAAAGAAGUUCAGUUAUAUGAAAAAGUCAUGUAGUAUAUUUUGUAAAAUAUAUUUGGCACAUACAUAUAGUAUCGUUAAACAUAAAAUAUGCAUACUGUUAAAGAUAAUAUUAUCAUUAUAUUCAUUUAUUAGCAUUGUUGAGGCACAGUUUAUUACACCAAAUUAAACUCAUUGAGAAUUUAUUGAAACUCAAGUUUUAGAUCUCUGUUCUUGUUAUUUAAAUGGGUACAAUGACUUAAAAUAUAUUCUCCCUGACUUUAAACCUUGUUAGUACUUCUAAAAUUAUCUAGAAUGGUCAUCAUACAUUUUUUACACACUAUGUAACAAUGCCUUGAUUAUUAUAUAAUGUUUAACGAAUAUGGAAAUGCUUUGGCAUGAUUAUAAGGCAUUAUGAGUUUUGGUUUUAGAUCUUUUGUAGUUUCAUAUACCUGCCAUAAAGCUUAAUAUUAGUACAGUUUUGUUUCAUUUUCACAUUAUCUUAAUAAGUUCCGCCAAUUGUGUAUUCUUUGCUGUAUGAGUAUGACCUGGUGUCUUAUGACUGAUAAACUGUUUGAAACAGAGAUUAACAGUGCUUUCAUAUAGAAAUGUCACAAAAUGUUUAAGCUUUAUCUUCUCAUUUUACAGAGACAUAUUAUUUUGUCUUGUAUGUUUAAGUCUAUUUAUGUACAAACUUCUUAAUAAAAUAAGAAAAUUCAUUUA